GACGAACGCUGGCGGCGUGCUUAACACAUGCAAGUCGAACGGAAAGGCCCUGCUUUUGUGGGGUGCUCGAGUGGCGAACGGGUGAGUAACACGUGAGUAACCUGCCCUUGACUUUGGGAUAACUUCAGGAAACUGGGGCUAAUACCGGAUAGGAGCUCCUGCUGCAUGGUGGGGGUUGGAAAGUUUCGGCGGUUGGGGAUGGACUCGCGGCUUAUCAGCUUGUUGGUGGGGUAGUGGCUUACCAAGGCUUUGACGGGUAGCCGGCCUGAGUGGGUGAUCAGUCACAGGGGAAGAGAGGCACGGGACGGAGGCCUAAGGGAGGCGGCAGGGGGGAAGAUUGGACAAUGGGCGGAAGCCUGAUCCAGGAAUGCCGCGUGUGUGAAGAAGGUCUUCGGAGUGUAAAGCGCUUUAAGUUGGGAGGAAGGGCAGUAAGUUAAUACCUUGCUGUUUUGACGUUACCAACAGAAUAAGCACCGGCUAACUUCGUG
rnacentral:rRNA from 1 species